UUGAUAAUGGAGGACUGAGGGCAGAAGGAAGAUUCAGAGCCACCAAGACCACUAUGACUUAGUGAAAACCAAAAGGUGUCAUACCAAUUUGAUUUCUUCUCUGAUCAUAUUCUUCUUUGUCUCUGUGGAUUGUCCCUUUAUCUAGACUUUACUAACGCUUCAGAUUAUGUUCUACAAGACACUUGCUUCAAUGAUUAGGGAAAGUACAGCCUGGAACAAUGUUUCCCUACUGUUAUCUGUUCCAGAGCACAUGAAGACAUGAGUGGAGGUUGAAUUUCUAACAAGGAUCCUACUUUAAAGAUGAUCAAUAACCUACUAAUUGUUUAUGAGUCCCUGUGGCAGAAACACCCAGAUAUUUCCCAGCUCUAGAAGUCUCAACAUAAAAUGAUGAACAUCUUAAACAAA